AUAAUCAUUAUAAUAAUGAGUAACUUCUAAUAAUUGGUUGACAGAGAAUCUAGCAUUUGCUGAAAGCUGGAUCCAAUUAAAUGGCAUGAGCGUUUAAAAUGGAGUGGUUUCCUUAUCAACCGAGAGGUAGUUUACGAAAGUGAGCUAUAAAGAUGGGUGGAACCGCGUUAAAAAACGUCCCUGGU
rnacentral:misc_RNA from 1 species